GCUGUGGUAGUUCAGUGGUAGAAUUUUUGCCUUCCGUGUAGGAGACCCGGAUUCAAUUCUUGGCCAAUGCA
rnacentral:tRNA from 1 species